rnacentral:rRNA from 1 species
UGGGGAAUAUUGCACAAUGGGCGCAAGCCUGAUGCAGCCAUGCCGCGUGUAUGAAGAAGGCCUUCGGGUUGUAAAGUACUUUCAGCGGGGAGGAAGGGAGUAAAGUUAAUACCUUUGCUCAUUGACGUUACCCGCAGAAGAAGCACCGGCUAACUCCGUGCCAGCAGCCGCGGUAAUACGGAGGGUGCAAGCGUUAAUCGGAAUUACUGGGCGUAAAGCGCACGCAGGCGGUUUGUUAAGUCAGAUGUGAAAUCCCCGGGCUCAACCUGGGAACUGCAUCGGAUACUGGCAAGCUUGAGUCUCGUAGAGGGGGGUAGAAUUCCAGGUGUAGCGGUGAAAUGCGUAGAGAUCUGGGGGAAUACCGGUGGCGAAGGCGGCCCCCUGGACGAAGACUGACGCUCAGGUGCGAAAGCGUGGGGAGCAAACAGG